UGCUCAACACUUGCCAUAAGUGACCACAGCUCUGACUAGGAGGGGGUGCCUGGAAGGAUGGCUGUCUCCUUGCUCUGACUGAAGCUCCAUUUCAACCUCCUUACAAGGCUAGGUCUUCCAACAUAUUUGAUCUAAGAGGAUACAAGUCAAUACGGAACCAACGUCUCUUCUUCUACAGCAGUGGGAGAGAAUGGACUGGAGGGAAGCUCUCCUGGCACCAGUGGCUACAGUUAACAGGGAGACUGCACUCCAGGCAGUGGGGAGAGUGCAACGGGACACACUGUCCUUGCCAGGAGGAUUAUAAAUCUGCCUGGCAUCCCUUUUUGGUCCUGCUGGAGAUUUCUUGGGUGGUGAACCAGAAGUCGUAUCUUCAUUGGCUCUCUUUUGCCUAUAAUGGUUUCCAGGAUAAUGUUACAGUGCUUUUAUAAGAAGGAGGAAUGUGGAAGAGAUCCUGAAAAGACAAAAUGAGGCAAGAUUUCUAACACAUUUGGUCGUGACGAGAGAGCGUGCAUGCAUGUGAGCAGGGCAGAG